rnacentral:rRNA from 1 species
GGGGAAUUUUGGACAAUGGGCGCAAGCCUGAUCCAGCCAUGCCGCGUGCGGGAAGAAGGCCUUCGGGUUGUAAACCGCUUUUGUCAGGGAAGAAAUCUUCUGGGUUAAUACCUCGGGAGGAUGACGGUACCUGAAGAAUAAGCACCGGCUAACUACGUGCCAGCAGCCGCGGUAAUACGUAGGGUGCAAGCGUUAAUCGGGAUUACUGGGUGUAAAGCGUGCGCAGGCGGUUGUGCAAGACAGGUGUGAAAUCCCCGGGCUUAACCUGGGAACUGCACUCGUGACUGCACGGCUGGAGUACGGCAGAGGGGGAUGGAAUUCCGCGUGUAGCAGUGAAAUGCGUAGAUAUGCGGAGGAACACCGAUGGCGAAGGCAAUCCCCUGGGCCUGUACUGACGCUCAUGCACGAAAGCGUGGGGAGCAAAC